ACCUGGGUGGCUCAGUCGGUUGAGCAUCCGACUUCGGCUCGGGUCAUGAUCUCACUGUUUGUGGGUUUGAGUCCCGCAUCAGGCU
rnacentral:tRNA from 1 species